rnacentral:rRNA from 1 species
UACGUAGGUGGCUAGCGUUGUCCGGAUUUACUGGGCGUAAAGAGCGCGCAGGCGGUCGUUCAAGUCGAGUGUGAAAGCCCCCGGCUCAACUGGGGAGGGUCACUCGAUACUGAUCGACUCGAAGGCAGGAGAGGGAAGCGGAAUUCCCGGUGUAGUGGUGAAAUGCGUAGAUAUCGGAAGGAACACCAGUGGCGAAGGCGGCUUUCUGGCCUGUUCUUGACGCUGAGGCGCGAAAGCUAGGGUAGCAAACGGG